ensembl:lncRNA
CAAAAAAUCAGCACUGAACACUGGACCUAUGUUAUUGAUCGCCAGCAAGUGUGAGCAUCUCUAUAACCUCAAUAAGGGAGGUUUUAGCUGUUUGUUCGUCUUGAAAUUUAGGUUUCUCUAACCCACACCUGCCGCCUGCAAUGACCUGAGCACAGAGUCUCCUGGCCCUUUGGUGCCAGGAGAUUAAAGUGGCCCCACUAAAUGCUGAGUGUCCAACGCAAACUUCCUUAAUUGCCUGAUCACCACCAUGCCAUGUAGGUUCACCGCCUCCAUCUGGGACUGAAGGAACUGCAGGAUGUGAGAGUGCAAGACAAAGGCACCAGCAAAUAUUAUCACUGCAGCUUCUGAGCUUGGGUCAGAAGCUGCAGUGAUACAAACGUAAACAGACACACAAUGCCUCGACAUAUGGUACCACACAAAGCGCAAGUGGUCAACGAUCGCUGGUUUUACUUCUGUACAGCCAUUUUAUAUGUACGCUUUUGGGCAUGGAUGGGCUAGCUGGAGUUUCUUAAAGAAAUAUUCAUGUGUCAUAACCAAGGGGUGGGGAAUCAUUACAUAUGGAGAGGUAAUGUAAAUAUACCAGAGAACAUAACAAUCUUCCUAGGAGUGGGCGUUUUACCAAAUUCAUUGCAAACCCAGGAACUCUACAGGCCUCAGUGAGCAGGUUAAAGGUUAAUAAUGAUGACAUCACAAUUAGAAAAAAACUGAUCAAGCACGGCUGUUUGGACGGGUUGCGAGAGAACUCUUCUUCCAUAUAAAAGAACAUAGCUAAAUGGUUUAGGCUUGCAAAGCUGGGGGUGAACAAAGCAUAAGACUUCUGGCUGAUAAAGUGACACAUCACUGCAGGUUACUGCUGCUAAAGUUUGUUCUACAAGAUGCUGAAUCAGGUGGUGGACUUGUACACAAAACUGUAGAUACAGAUGUAUUUCUAAUCAUAGAGCUGACUGAAUAUAUUGCAUAUCGUGAAUAACCUCUAUAUUAUGUUUUUAAACAGUUUGGCUGAGAUGGGAAAAAAACUUCAUCAGGCAAAGUAAACAUUUUUUCUUUUUUUUUUUUUGCCUGUCCCAUUUGGUUCUUUAGCCAUCAGAAUUGUUGUCUGAAGACCAACAAGGAUACCAAAUGGAUUUAUUUUGCCAAAUGGAUCAUCGUGGCAUUGCCGUAUUGGUCCAUUUGAUCGACCUUUGUUUUUAUUAUUUAUUUUAUUUUAUUUUCAGAUGUUACAGACGGGACAGACAUGAGUGAGGGAUAGGAAAGGGAGAAAGAAAGAGGAAGGAAAAGAAAAACAGAAGGGGAGAGGGACAGUGAGAAAGGGGGAAAAAAUCUCCUGGAUCACCUGUUGAGAGAGAAAGAAUAGAAAACAAGCAAAAACAAAACAAAACAAAGCAACACAAACAAAACACCAUCGCAUUAAUCUAGCUAAGUGUAAACAGCAGUAAAUACUAAAUAUUGAAUGUUGUUGUGCAGCACGCAGGACAGACAGCGCACAAUGUGUUUUGAAGUAGCAGCCAAGAAAGGUGUAAUUUAAGUCUACGAACAGUGAACACCCAAAACAUUUUUUUCUCAUCUUUCAUAAAAGUCUGAAGUUUCUCAUUUCUUCUUUUUAUUUCAUUUUUUUUAAUCUGUUCACCAAGAAUUUUGCUUUACAUGCUGUAUAUUUGUCUCACAGUAUGGUGAUGAACCAUCAAAAGGAGGAACUGAAUUCAGUCAUAGAGAGGUCUGUGAAACGUCUAGAGGAGGAACUGAAUCCAUUCAUACAGAGUUUGGGUGAAAUGGAAGAAGUUUACAAAGUGAACCUCAAACAACCAGGUUUGGCUGAAAUGGAAAAGUUUUACAAACAGAAACUCCAAGAAGAAAGAUCUGCACAUGAAAAAACUAAAGAAGAGUAUAAAUCAUUCAAAGACAGAAUGGCAGGGGAGGUUGAUCUUACACUAAAGACGGGGAACUCUGAAAACAUGAACAACCCAGUGAAUGAAACCAGACUGAAAGAGAUGUAUAAAGAGCUGAGGAAGGACUGGGCUAGAAUCAAGCCUGAAAUGAAGCAGGCCGCUCAGAGCGACGCAGAGCAAAUCAAAGUUGGCAUUCAGCGCAACUUUCAAUAUGGGGCAAAGCGAAUAGAGCAGAAGAAGAAAGAGAUAGAGUCAGUAUUUAACCUUAAUGCGGACAGCACUGAAGCAUCUCAGAAGGUUCAUGAAUACACAAAGUUAACCAUUCAGAACCUUCAGCUUGCUGUUUACUACAGUUUCAAAGGCACUGCUGCUCAGGGGUUCCACGGACAGGAAGGUGAAACUCAUAGCUUCAAUAAGCUUACCCAGAAGUGCAGCUGGCUGAGCAGCUUAUUGGUGCUGAACAAUCCCCCUCUUCAGCCUGACUGGAAAAAUCAUGAUCCAGGGCAAGAUGCUUGGAACGUUUUCCCACAAGAGAUCACAGCUGAAUCUGCCACAUCACUCUGCCAGGACCCCUCUGAAAAUGUUGUUGGAUAUAGUUGGACAUCCCAGCAUCCAGACGUGAACCAGAGUGAAGAUAAUAUGAUGACGUGAGUUCCAACCAAGCAUGUCUUUUAUCAUGUCUUCAUUCUCUUACCACAACCGGUCGCUGAAGAUGGCCCCGCCCCUCCCUGAGUCUGGUUCUGCCGGAGGUUUCUUUUUUCCCUUCCCACUUCUCCCAAAGUGCUUGCUAUAUGGGACGUAUGAUUGUUGGGUUUUUCUUUGUAUGUAUUAUUGUAGGGUCUACCUUACAAUAUAAGGCAAAUGCUGUUGUGAUUUGAUGCAGUAUAAAU